rnacentral:rRNA from 1 species
UAGGGAAUCUUCGGCAAUGGACGGAAGUCUGACCGAGCAACGCCGCGUGAGUGAAGAAGGUUUCCGGAUCGUAAAGCUCUGUUGUAAGAGAAGAACGAGUGUGAGAGUGGAAAGUUCACACUGUGACGGUAUCUUACCAGAAAGGGACGGCUAACUACGUGCCAGCAGCCGCGGUAAUACGUAGGUCCCGAGCGUUGUCCGGAUUUAUUGGGCGUAAAGCGAGCGCAGGCGGUUAGAUAAGUCUGAAGUUAAAGGCUGUGGCUUAACCAUAGUACGCUUUGGAAACUGUUUAACUUGAGUGCAAGAGGGGAGAGUGGAAUUCCAUGUGUAGCGGUGAAAUGCGUAGAUAUAUGGAGGAACACCGGUGGCGAAAGCGGCUCUCUGGCUUGUAACUGACGCUGAGGCUCGAAAGCGUGGGGAGCAAACAGGAUUAGAUACCCUGGUAGUCCACGCCGUAAACGAUGAGUGCUAGGUGUUAGACCCUUUCCGGGGUUUAGUGCCGUAGCUAACGCAUUAAGCACUCCGCCUGGGGAGUACGACCGCAAGGUUG